UACGUAGGGCGCAAGCGUUAUCCGGAAUUAUUGGGCGUAAAGAGCUCGUAGGCGGUUUGUCGCGUCUGCCGUGAAAGUCCGGGGCUCAACCCCGGACUUGCAGUGGGUACGGGCAGACUAGAGUGUGGUAGGGGAGACUGGAAUUCCUGGUGUAGCGGUGAAAUGCGCAGAUAUCAGGAAGAACACCAAUGGCGAAGGCAGCUCUCUGGGACGGUACUGACGCUGAGACGCGAAAAGCGUGGGGAGCGAACAGG
rnacentral:rRNA from 1 species